AAAUUUACCCCAGCUCGAAAUUGGAAAAUUCGCCCGAUUCAAAAUGGCGCGCGUGUGCCAUGGACAUGCACAUAAGCAUCGGCCAUGACCAGCAGCAGAAAGUCGAAUGAACCUUGAGCGCCUUUAGGACCACGUGGGCCACGCUCACCGGGGAGUCCUUGUGCGCCUGUUGACCCUGGAGCUCCCACAGGACCCUGCGAAAAUAAUAAAAAUAUAAAUUUCUAAAUUAUACAAAUCGCAAAUUUUGUUGAAAUGCGCAUAACUCAACAAUGCCUAGGUCAAUUUGGCCAAUUGUUUUAUAAAACGUUUGUUAAAGUCCAAGGAUGGUUUUUACAGCGAGAAAAAUUCAAAUAAUUGCCGGGAAAACCCAAAAGACAGCCCUUUUCUAUAGGAUAAAAGUUGGCAUUGAGAUUCAAUCAUAGUUAUAGUUAAAUAGUUGAAUUCAAGAUGGCGCGUUGAAGUGCAUUAUUAGCUAUUCUUUAUAUAAUUAAUUUCUUUAAAAUAAAAUUGCGAAGCUUAUUGAUAGAA